rnacentral:rRNA from 1 species
AACGAACGCUGGCGGCAUGCCUAACACAUGCAAGUCGAACGAGACCUUCGGGUCUAGUGGCGCACGGGUGCGUAACGCGUGGGAACCUGCCCUUAGGUUCGGAAUAACUCCCCGAAAGGGGUGCUAAUACCGGUUAAUGUCUUCGGACCAAAGAUUUAUCGCCUUUGGAUGGGCCCGCGUUGGAUUAGCUAGUUGGUAGGGUAAAAGCCUACCAAGGCGACGAUCCAUAGCUGGUCUGAGAGGAUGAUCAGCCACACUGGGACUGAGACACGGCCCAGACUCCUACGGGAGGCAGCAGUGGGGAAUAUUGGACAAUGGGCGAAAGCCUGAUACAGCAAUGCCGCGUGAGUGAUGAAGGCCUUAGGGUUGUAAAGCUCUUUUACCCGGGAUGAUAAUGACAGUACCGGGAGAAUAAGCUCCGGCUAACUCCGUG